CUCAGUUUCCAUCUAUGUAUACAGGAAAUAAAAAUAAUUUGUACUCUGGUUCAAAUCCUGAUGCUCCCACAUACCAGCUGUGUGUCCUUGGGCAAGUCACUUCCCUCUCUCAGCUGCAUCUCUUUCUCUCAAGAUUCUGAGCAGCAAGUGAGAAGAUAUUAGCUACAAAAACACUUGCAAAAUGAGACACCAAGAGUUAUGUGAAGCUAAGAUCUUCGUGAAGAUGAAUUGCUUUGGAACCAACCAAAUUUGAGGUGAACAUUUGACAUGCUGCGGAGGUGGGGUGACCAUAACCAUCUUUUACAAGAUGAAAAUAUGAACUCAGAAAUAUGACACACCCUCUCAAAAUGGAACUGAUGUAGUUUGGUGUCAAAGACAUCAUUGCUUCAUAUGAAUAUUUAGAAGCUUGAUGUGUAAUAAUGGCUGCAAAACAACAAAAUGACAUGGAAAAUUUUCAAAAGAAUGAGUUAAAUAAUUUCCACUGAACAUGACUUGGACAGCUCCCUUCAUCAGCUAGAACGAAAGGAAGAUGUGGAAUAAUGUACAAACUUGACCCCUUUAGAUUGAUGUACAAGAAAUAAGGCAUCGCUUUCUAAACUUUCUCUCCCAAACAUCCACCCUUGUACUCUCAGACUUCAAAACUACACUCAAGGGACCUAGAUGUAACCAAUUCUUGAUUUGCCUGAUAGCACAACGAUGUAACAUCAUCUUCUUACUACAAAAAUGCAAAAUAAAAGAAAAUGACAGGCUUUCAAGCUUUUGUCUUACGACUUAUACGCACAAGUUCUACAUUUCAACAUUUUUAAAUGAU